GUGUUCACUUCGGCAACAUGAAUACUCAAGUCGGAAUGACACAGAGAUCAGCAUGGCCUCUGCAAAGGAUGACACACAAAUUCAUCAAGUGUUCUAUAUAUUU